UUGAAUAAGCUUUGGUGGGUUGUCGCUGGCCUCUAGGGGCAUGUGCACGCCUUCCUUUGUUUCUUCUUUCACCCACCUGUGCACAUUUUGUAGGCUUUGGAUAUCUCUCGAGGAGACUCGGUCCUUGGAGGGGUUGUCAUUCGUGGCCGCCUCUCUACAUUUCCGGCCUACGUUCUUCAUAUACACCAUUGUAUGUUACUGAAUGCAUCGAUUUGGGCCGUCAAAGGCCUAUAAACCUUAUA
rnacentral:misc_RNA from 1 species